rnacentral:tRNA from 1 species
GCCGGGAUGACAGAGCGGCCAUGUGGCAGACUGCAGAUCUGCAGACAGGAGUUCAAAUCUCCUUCCCGGCUCCA